rnacentral:misc_RNA from 1 species
UUUCCGUAGGUGAACCUGCGGAAGGAUCAUUAAUGAGUUGUCAUGGGGUUCGAUGCUGGCAGCCAAUUUUUGGAUGCAUGUGCUUGCCCUAACAAUCAUCUUCCAAACACCUGUGCACAUUUUUGAGGGAGUCUUGAGUUGGUUGCCGCUCUUGGGUGAUUUUCUCACAUUCCCUUAAAUCAUUAUACGCUAUUAACAAUGUUGAACGUGCCCUGUGCCGCAAGGCUAUUAAUAUAAUACAACUUUUAACAACGGAUCUCUUGGCUCUC